GAAACGCACUGUAAGAAAAAGGGAAUUUCAUUCUGUAAUUGUCCUGGCUAUCCUAAGUUUGUUUUCUUUCUAUAACAUUUAUUUAAAUGGACAUUCACCAUGUGGGACACUGUCAUGUAUGCCAGUUUGUCGAUGUUACACUGUACAUUUCCCUGUUUUGGUUUUAACAUCUUAUCCUGCUGACCAUGUAUGGAGGCUGGUUAAGUCUGGACUGUACCUUUGCUGUGUUCGGCUGGGGACAGCCUUUGUUUAACCCGGGGGGAAUAUGUAACAGUCACAAUGGUGUGGUGUCUCUUUAAGACAACCCAAGUCGAGGGCUAAUGUUGUCAUCAGUAUGCGCCACUGCCCUCUCUCUGUGUGAUUGUGUGGACAUGUGCUUGCACGCUAGUGCAUGAGGAAGGACGGGGUUUAUGUUUUACCUCUCCACACACCUUUCUUUUGCAAUGUAUGGGUUGUACGAACACUGUGCGCUUUUUGUUAAGCUGCAGCCGUUCAACCGGGCUUAUAUGGUUGGCGAAGAUGAGGUUUAUUAAAGGACACGCUGUGGAAUUCCUAAUGCAGUGUGAAUGUGCAUUCUUUUGACUAGCCCUGCUAAGUGUUUUGCCGCCUCCUCUCAACCACUAAACACAACCCGACGUUACACCGCCUACAGGAUGGCUGACGGCUUCAUCCGAUGCAAAUGUAUUAGGAGGUGAAAAUUUUGGUACAGCCAUUUUUGCCGACUAUACUGCCGAACCCAGACAAACUGUUAGCAAUGGCAAUGGCACUGAAGUAGAGUCACCACCACUAGACCCCCCAGUCACAUCGGAGGUGUUGGAGGAGGAGCAGGAAAGUCAGAACGUGAUGGAGCAAGACGCAGCUGAGCUUCAAACACCUCGUCAGAAUCAGGUAAUGUACUUUAUGUGUUUCUGUGUGUACGUGCGCAAAUUUUUAAAUGUAUGUGUGUUGUUUAACCUUAACCAAGCACAGUUUCCCCAGUUCAGCUUCAGCAAAACCGGAGUAAAGCCUAACUAGAGAAAAUGUACUCAGUUCAAGUGAGGGUUAUAGGAUCAAAGUUAUGUGUUUUCUAAGAUAAACUACUUGAUUAGAAUAAUUUAAUAGGUAUGAAGGCCAGUGCUGAAUUUCAAAUGCAUGAAUCCACUGAAAUUCAGGCUCACACAGCAAUGUAGGCUUAGUUACCAUACUUAAAACCGAUUCAACAUAUAAUAAAUAAACUCAUUAUUUACCAGUGUUGUGUACCUGCCUUGGUUGUUGUUAGAUGCUCCAUGAAUCAAGCAGCUUUCAACUUUUUCUUUCAGUUAAAGAGUAGAUUCCAUAAAGACUGGUUAAGCUUUAUUAAAUAACUCUUAAAUUGUUCAUAACAUUAGCUAUCCCUUGUAGUAGGAAUCUUUUAAUAGCAAAAAUGUACAACAGUUUGGAGUAUUUCUUUGUUUUGUUUUGCAUCUGGUGGAAUUUGAAAUACAUUCUGAGUGAGUCAUUUUUCUUACACAAUUGUCUUCUUUUUGUCCUGUGUAAAAGCGAAACUGUUGAUCUUGCCAGAUGUGCAGAUGCAUUUGCUAUUGGUGUGCGGGAGCAAUCCCACCUAUCACAGGUACUGCUUCAUCUGAUAUUAUGGGGGUGUCAUUGUUAACUUGUUAAUAAGUCUGGUUCACUGUAGGGCUGCAACUAACGAUUUUUUUCAUAAUCUGUCCAUUAUUUUUAUAAUUAAUCAAUUGUUUUUUUAUUACUGGUUUUAUUCAGCUAUUACUUUCACCUAUAUAAGUUAUUAAGAACAAAUGUACAUUACGAAGAAGUUAAACACGAGAGUUGUGCAGUUCACUGCAAUGUAUUUAACUCUGGGCACACUCAACAGUUAAAAAUGAGCUUAACAGUGUAAAAUAUGUUCAUUUUUAGGCAGAAAAGACAAAUGAAGUAGAAUUAUGUAACCCAUAUCAACUACACCCUGUCACAUGACCCACGUCAGCUGAUUUGAGGUCCCUCUCCUGAUUUGCUCCUUCCACGUCGCGGCAACUAUGAAAACCGGCUGUAGAGGGAUACUUUCGGGUUCGACUCCUGCUGUGGCUGUAAGCUAAUGGCGUUUAGAACGGCGUUAGAAAACAAAGUGUUUUCUCCCCUCAAUUCAUUUAUAAAAUCGUAUCACCUCAGCGGUCAGGGUUUUUUUUCCCCCUUUGAAUUGAUCUUCUUCAUAUUGAAAUGGCGAGCCGGUAGGACCAUUCUUUGUUUUUUUCCCCCUCUUUCCCCCCCCACUUUGCCGUCUUUGGAUUACGGACAUAUUUCCCCAUUGUAUGAAGCUGGACCCUAACGAGGAAUACCUUAAAAGUGAACUUUAAAAAAGAAACUUUAACAAAGGACCAAAAGGACUCUUAACAAAAGGACUCUUGCACAGAAAAAUCACAACAUUGAUUGAUUGAUUAAUUAAUUAAUUGUGGACAUUUAUUUAUGUUGUGUGUUGUAUUAAUUAUUUUGUUCCAUUUCCCCUUUCCCCCAUUUAUUCAAUAUAUUUUUGGUACAAGA